AAAUUGAAGAGUUUGAUCAUGGCUCAGAUUGAACGCUGGCGGCAGGCCUAACACAUGCAAGUCGAACGGUAACAGGAAGCAGCUUGCUGCUUUGCUGACGAGUGGCGGACGGGUGAGUAAUGUCUGGGAAACUGCCUGAUGGAGGGGGAUAACUACUGGAAACGGUGGCUAAUACCGCAUAACGUCGCAAGACCAAAGAGGGGGACCUUCGGGCCUCUUGCCAUCAGAUGUGCCCAGAUGGGAUUAGCUAGUUG
rnacentral:rRNA from 1 species